rnacentral:rRNA from 1 species
AGAGUUUGAUCAUGGCUCAGAAUGAACGCUGGCGGCGUGCUUAACACAUGCAAGUCGAACGAGACUGAGGGGGCAACUCCUCAGUCGAGUGGCGGACGGGUGAGUAACACGUGGGUAACCUGCCCGGAAGUGGGGAAUACCUCGGGGAAACUCGAGCUAAUACCGCAUGACAUCCUCGGGACGAGAGUUCUGAGGAUCAAAGCGGGGUCGCAAGAUCUCGCGCUACCGGAUGGGCCCGCGCCCGAUUAGCUAGUUGGUGAGGUAACGGCUCACCAAGGCUUCGAUCGGUAGCCGGCCUGAGAGGGUGAUCGGCCACACCGGAACUGAGACACGGUCCGGACUCCUACGGGAGGCAGCAGUGGGGAAUCUUGCGCAAUGGGCGAAAGCCUGACGCAGCAACGCCGCGUGGAGGAUGAAGGCCCUUGGGUUGUAAACUCCUGUCGGCUGGGAAGAAAUCGCGCGGUGCUCAUACCAUCGCGCGUUGACUGUACCAGCAAAGGAAGCCCCGGCUAACUCUGUGCCAGCAGCCGCGGUAAUACAGAGGGGGCUAGCGUUAUUCGGAAUUAUUGGGCGUAAAGGGCGCGUAGGCGGCUCUGCGUGUCUUCCGUGAAAUCCCUCGGCUUAACUGAGGACGUGCGGAAGAAACUGCAGGGCUCGAGUCCGGGAGAGGGGGGUGGAAUUCCCAGUGUAGCGGUGAAAUGCGUAGAUAUUGGGAGGAACACCGGUGGCGAAGGCGGCCCCCUGGACCGGUACUGACGCUGAUGUGCGAAAGCGUGGGUAGCAAACGGGAUUAGAUACCCCGGUAGUCCACGCCGUAAACGAUGGGCACUUGGUGUCGCGGGUAUCGACCCCUGCGGUGCCGAAGCUAACGCAUUAAGUGCCCCGCCUGGGGAGUACGGUCGCAAGGCUGAAACUCAAAUGAAUUGACGG